UACGGAGGGUGCGAGCGUUGUCCGGAAUCACUGGGCGUAAAGGGCGCGUAGGCGGCUCCGCCAGUCUGUGGUGAAAGCCCAGGGCUCAACUCUGGGACGGCCACGGAUACUCCGUGGCUGGAGCACACUAGAGGCGGAUGGAAUUCCGGGUGUAGCGGUGGAAUGCGUAGAGAUCCGGAAGAACACCGGUGGCGAAGGCGGUCCGCUGGGGUGUUGCUGACGCUGAGGCGCGACAGCGUGGGGAGCAAACAGG
rnacentral:rRNA from 1 species